rnacentral:lncRNA from 1 species
AAAAAUUUCCUCUUACAUUGCUUUCUAAUUGUUUCAUAAGCUGAGAUGAGCUAAGAUUGCUUUAAACUUUUUCUUUCAAUGUUUGAAAAGAUUUUGUGUUGUUUUAUGAUUUUCUUUUUCCUAAAUUGAGUGAAUGUAAGCCAUAAAAGGAUAAGUGGACUUUGUGAGAUAAAAUUAAAUUCAUAGUUGAAUAAUCGCUGAAUAAUUGGAAUGAAUAAAACUUUGCUUUCCCUUAUAUGUUUGAUUCUAGCCACAAUAGUGAGUUCCACAAUUGUAAUUAUAUCAAUUGAGUGGAAGAACUAUACUUUUAUACAAAAGAGUUGGAAAUAAAAUCUAUAUAGAAGAAUUUAUAGAUUUUGAUGAGAAGAAUCAAAUAACAUGAAGCGUCUAGACCAUUAAAAUAUACAUUCUUAAAAUAAUAUUUCAAUUAGAUUUUAAUAAUAGUUUCAUACGAUGCUACCGUAAUUAUCACUUUGUAUAUAUCAAACAUCCAAGCAUUAAUUUGUAAACCUGUCACUUUAUGGGAACGAGAUGCUAUUAUUAGAUAAUGAGGGGACAAGUUUAUCAUGAAAAGUCGGAUGGUCCUUUAUUUAGAAGCAACAGACUUAAGCAAAAGCAUAAUACAUUAUCAGCGUAUGUAAUUUGAACAGAGCAUUCAAAGAUGUUACCCGAGUAAAUCUUGGAUACAUGAAAAAGUGCAAGCCUAUUAAAACUCCUACCAACGAGAAUGGUCCAAGCCAGAGAAGUGUUUAAUAACUCCACAUGAAUGGAACUAAAUUGAAAAUCUCCUCACGCUAGUGUCACUGGAAAUCUUAUAUGUGACUUUAUGAAAAAAAGAACUAAAAUGAUGAAUUCCUUCAUUGCACUUGGAAGCCUUAUAUAUGCAAUGAUAGGCAUAUAGGUCAAAAUUCUAAUUUACAAUUUGAAGGAUAAGUAGAUAUUAAUUGAAUCAAGGCUAAACACAUUAUAGAUGCGUCAAAAAAAGUAUUUUUCUUACUAUCAGUUAUUAAUUAUAUUGUACAGAAAACAAAUUACAACUCAUGAGCAACAUAAUUCUACUAGGUACUAAGAAGAGAGGGAGGAAUUGGUAUAUACAGAAAAGGAUAUUUAUAAAAACUUAGCAGAUUAAAAAUUAUAGAAAGGAAAAGUGAAAUAGAAGGAAUCAAUCAUAGAAAGAUGGACAAGAUUUGGUGGUUCGUCUACAUCCACUCUCUAAACUUCACUAUCAUAAACUAGAAUUACAACCUAAUUCUAUCUUUUCAAAACUCAAGAUAAACUCAAGUGUUUCUCUUAGAUUACACUCAACCUAAAAACUCAAGAUUACAUCAUUAUUUUGUUACAAAGAUUAAAUAACCUUCCUUGGUCAAUAAUCCAGUCAAGUGUUUGGAGGAUGAAUUUAUCUACCCGACUACCCAAUUAGUUCUUUGCAAGUUAAUAAUGUAUAAUAGAGAGAGAAAAUGGGUUUAUGGUUGUUGAGAGAUUGAUUUGCAAUUACGAGAGCUCAAAAGAUACACUUAGUUAAUCCUAAAUACAGUACAUCCAAAAGUAUAUGUUUAUACUUUCACAGAAAAGAGGGCCGUUAGAGUUUCAUCUAAUGCAAAUUUUUUCAUUCAACUACUAUAAUAAGUGUAGUGUCACAAGCGUGGCAUAAUGCUUCACAGGCGUGCCAUGUAGCACUAAGAGAAUUUUAAUUUUUCUGACAUCCCGAUCAUAAGCGAGAGUAUAUUUACAAGUGUGACUCUUGAUGUCUCAUGGGUACUCUAAGUUACGAAUCCUUAUGGCCAAAACUUCAUUUUGCUACUUGAGGAUGCAUCACAGGCAUGAAACGAAGUGUCACGAGUGUGAAUCUUAACCUUUCACGAGAGUAUCCCAAGUCACAAUUCAUUCUACCCAAAACUUCAUUUUAUCACUAGCGUCAUGGGCGUGAGAUAACUGUCGUGGGUGUGGCACCUGAUGUGUAAUGGGGAGCACUCCAAAUGUCAAGGGCAUAAGGCUGUUAUGUUUUGCUUUUAACAUCGUUUUAUUGUGAUCCAUUUUUGUAACCUCCAUAUAAUCAGUUAAGAGAUAUUUAACUGUAACAAAUUUAAUUACUUGUUAAUGUAAAAGGGCAUUGAUACCCUUAAGGCUCAAAUUUUCCAGGUUUUUAAUGGUAAAAUAAUAAUUGAAGCAAGGGGAUAAAAUUUAUAUAAAUCACAAAGUAGGAACUUCCCCUCACAAGAAUAACACAUGCUUAUAUAAUCAUCAAGGACGUGUGUGAUUAACUAGUUGAUAAGUAAAGAAAAAAUAGACCAAGGAAGACCAAUUUGCUAAAAGACUAGUUAAUAAAAAAAAGACAAUUUGCUAGGAAAGAGAAAUGAACAUAUCUUAUAAUUUGGUCAAAGAGAUUAGCUAUCAACAAGUUUUUCAAGUCUAACCCGAGCUUCAGAGUACCUCAAACAAUGGUUAGAAAGUACUAGACAAGAUUUUCUAACCACUCAUUUUGAUGGCUAAGUUAGUAAUAAUGUUAUGAAUGUAAGUAUGUAUUGAUUGUAGAAGAAUGAAUCUAUCUGACAUGUUGUGUCUCAGUCCUUUAUAUAAGAACUAAUGGUCUCCUAGUCUUACAAGGAUUAGGACUUCAUAAAUAUAAAUUUCUAUGACUUGGUCUUUAAAACUCCUAGUUGUACUUGAAUUUGGACUUACUCAAUCCCGCAUUUCUCAACUAUGACAACUCGGUAUGUGAUGCUCGGUUAUCAUUAGAUGUUCGACCAAUUAUGGUUGAUCAUCAUUGGAUGUUCAGCCUACUCUUGUAUGCUUGGCCGAUUCUUGUAUGCUCGUCCUACUCUUGUAUGCUUGGCCUAUUCUUGUUUGCUUGGCCUAUUCUUGUAUAAUAUACUCUUGUAUGCUUGACAUGCUCGGCCUAUAUUUUUUGGCCUAUAUUUUUCGGCCUUUAUUGUUAUCAUUAGCCUUAUACUAUAGUGAUAGAGUAUUUAUGCAUGGUAAUGAAUAACCUCUCAAAAGAUCUUGAUAUUAAGGAGAUUGGUCAGCAAGCUCGAAAAUAUAUUGUUUGUUGAGAUGCUUUCCUAAGAUUUCUUAAUCACUUUGGAUGAACUAGUAUUAUGCACUUCUUAGAGCUUGGUUACACAUUUGGAUGAACUAGUCUUCUACUGCCUAAUGAGCUCGUGUAGUUCUUCUCUAAAUGGGCUCAUAUAUUUUUACUCUCCAAUGGGCUCAUGUAUUAUUGCUCUUUAACAAGCUCAUGUAUUGUUGCUCUCCAUUGAGCUCAUGUAUUUUUCUUGCCAAUGAUCUUGCAUACUUCUGCUCUACAAUGAGCUCAUGCACUUUUUGUUCUCUAAUGAGCUGAUUAUUGAUGCUCUCUACUGAGCUCAUGUAUCUUUUCUAUAUAUUGAGUUGAUAUAAUUUUGCUUUAUAACGAACUAGGUGUGCUUAGAUCAGUUAUUUUAGGAUCAACACUUUUGAUGAGCUUAAGACCAACACUUUUUAUAUGCUUUGGUGCUCUCUCAUAAGCUUUUAAGAUCAACAAUUCAUUAUGUGCCUUGGUGUUCUCUCAAGAGCUUUGGAGAUUGAUGCUUUAUUAUGUGCCUUGAUGAUCUCUCAUGUGCUUUGAAAAUCAACACUUUAUUAUGUGCCUUAGUGCUCUCUCAUGAGCUUUUGAGAUCAGCAUUCUGUUAUAUGCCUUAGAGCUCUCUUAUGAUCUUUAGAGAUCAAUAUUUUAUUAUACACCUUGGUGCUUUCUUAUGAGCUUUGGAGAUUGACACUUUGUUAUAUGCAUUGGUUGUCUCUCAUGAGUUUUUGAGAUUGAUACCUUGAUAUGUGCUUUGGUGCUCUCUCAUGUGCUUUAGAUAUUGUCACUUUGUUAUGUGCCUUUGUGCUCUUUCAUGAGCUUUAUAGAUUGGGCACUUUAUUAUGUGCCUUGGUAUUCUCUCACGAGCUUUGCAAAUUAACACUGGAUUAUCUACCUUGGUGCUCUCUUAUGAGCUUUUGAGAUCAACACUUUGUUAUGUGCCUUAAUGCUCUCUCAUGAGCUUUGAAGAUUAACAUUUUGUUAUGUGCCUUAGUGCUCUCUCAUGAGCUUUGGAGAUCGACACUUUGUUAUAUGUGUUGGUAUUCUCUCAUGAGCUUUUGAGAUCGAUAAUUUGUUAUGUAUUUUGAUGCUCUCUCAUGAGCUUUGGAGAUCAACAUCUUGUUAUAUGCCUUGGUGCUCUUUCAUGAGCUUUGAAGAUCGACACUUUGUUAUAUGCUUUGGUGCUCUCUCAUGAGCUUUGAAAAUCAAAACUUUGUUAUGUGCCUUGGUGCUCUCUCAUGAGCUUUGAAAAUUUUAAAAAUCAACACUUUGUAAUGUGUCGUUGUGCUGUCUCAUGAGUUUUAAAGAUCAAUACUUAACAUUGUUUUACUCUUAUUAUCAUAUUCAAGUCCUCUCCUUACUUGUUUGGAUUGGUGCCUUGUGUGCCCAUGUGCUCAUCUUCCUUCUUUUGAUCCUUUUUAUUGUAUUGUAUUAUGAUUUCUGUUGGAGCUAAAGAUCAAUAAGUGAGAUAAGUGCAAUACUUACUUCUUGAUGCUGGAUGAGCUCCUAGAUGAAGAACAUCAGUGUCUUUGUUUGUCGUCAUUAGCAUGUGAUUUGAUUUCUAGAAAGACUUUCAAUUCUUUUAACCCACAAAUGGCACUAUUUGAUAACUUGGUUAAAGAGAUCAGCUAUCAAUAAGUUCUUCAAGUCAGACCCGUGCUUUAGAAUAUCUGAAUGAUGGCUAAGUCAGUGAUGAUGUUUUCAAUGUAAGUGUAUUUUGAUUGUAGAAGAAUAAAUCUACUUGACAUGUUGUGUCUCAGUCCUUUAUAUAGGGACUGAUGGUCUCCUAGUCCCACAAGGAGUAGGACUUCAUGAAUAUAAAGUUCUAUAAUCCUAUUAAGAUUAGUAUUACUGGAUAUACGAUAGAGUCCCAGGUCAUGCCAGAUUACUUAGUUAGAGUACGCCCAUGAUUUAGUCUUCAAGACUCCUAGUUUUACUUGGAUUUGGACUUAGUUAACCCCACAUUUCUCGGCUAUAAUAACUCGACAUAUGAUGCUCGGUUAUCAUUAGAUGUUCGACCUAUUAUGGUCCGCAAUCAUUGGAUGUUUGACCUACUGUUUUAUGCUCGGCCUAUUCUUGUAUGCUUGACCUAUUCUUGUAUACUCAGUCUACUCUUGUAUGCUCGGUUUACUCUUGUAUGCUCGGUCAAUUCUUGUAUGCUUGGCAUGCUCAGCCUAUAUUGCUCGACCUAUAUUUUGGUAAUUUAUCAAUAUCCAAGUUUUUCUCCUUCGUUGGCACCAUCAAAAAGAAGUAGAGACAAAAUAUGUCCUAUAAAUAUGACUAUCCAACAAACAUAUAAGAGAUCCUAAGAAUAUAAGCAAGUAGGAAAAAAUAAAAGUUAUAAGAUGGAUGAGGGAAGUGGGUUCAAAGGCAUCGAACAUUNNN